GACGAACGCUGGCGGCGUGCCUAAUACAUGCAAGUCGAACGAACCGCGACUAGGUGCUUGCACUUGGUCAAGGUGAGUGGCGAACGGGUGAGUAACACGUGGGUAACCUACCUCAUAGUGGGGGAUAACAGUCGGAAACGACUGCUAAUACCGCAUAGGACAUAGGAUCACAUGAUCCAGUGAGGAAAGGUGGCGCAAGCUAUCGCUAAGAGAUGGACCCGCGGUGCAUUAGCUAGUUGGUAGGGUAAAGGCCUACCAAGGCGAUGAUGCAUAGCCGACCUGAGAGGGUGAUCGGCCACAUUGGGACUGAGACACGGCCCAAACUCCGACGGGAGGCAGCAGUAGGGAAUCUUCCGCAAUGGACGCAAGUCUGACGGAGCAACGCCGCGUGAGUGAAGAAGGUCUUCGGAUCGUAAAGCUCUGUUGUUAGAGAAGAACAGCGCAUAGAGUAACUGUUAUGCGUGUGACGGUAUCUAACCAGAAAGCCACGGCUAACUACGUG
rnacentral:rRNA from 1 species